AGCUUGAUGACGACGUUUUGGCGCGGUGGCGGAAUGGCGGCUUCCACCUCUGAAGCGGGCGACGCUAUGGGUCCCACAGUGGUUUGCUAAGAAGGCCAUUUUCAACUCUCCAUUGGAGGCUGCUAUGGCGUUCCCUCACCUGCAGCAGCCCAGCUUUCUACUGGCCAGCCUGAAAGCUGACUCUAUAAAUAAGCCCUUUGCACAGCAGUGCCAAGACUUGAUUAAAGUAAUUGAGGAUUUUCCAGCAAAGGAGCUGCACACCAUCUUCCCAUGGCUGGUAGAGAGCAUUUUCGGCAGCCUAGACGGUGUCCUCGUUGGCUGGAACCUCCGCUGCUUACAGGGGCGUGUGAAUCCUGUGGAGUACAGCAUCGUGAUGGAAUUUCUCGACACUGGUGGCCCAAUGAUGAAGUUGGUUUAUAAGCUUCAAGCUGAAGACUAUAAGUUCGACUUUCCUGUCUCCUACCUGCCUGGUCCUGUGAAGGCGUCCAUCCAGGAGUGCAUCCUCCCUGACAGUCCUCUGUACCACAACAAGGUCCAGUUCACCCCUACUGGGGGCCUUGGUCUGAACCUGGCCCUGAAUCCAUUCGAGUAUUACAUAUUCUUCUUUGCCUUGAGCCUCAUCACUCAGAAGCCACUCCCUGUGUCCCUCCACGUCCGUACUUCAGACUGUGCCUAUUUCAUCCUGGUGGACAGGUACCUGUCAUGGUUCCUGCCCACCGAAGGCAGUGUGCCCUGCCACUCUCCUCCAGCCCAGGGGGGACCAGCCCCUCACCGCCUCCCAGGUAAGGCUGCCCUUUGUUAAGACCUGGCCCUUCCAUAAGGGAGUGGCCUGGUCACUUGCAUCGCCCACGGGGACAAUGUUGCCACCCUUUGUCCACGGUUCCCCAAUUUUUCUUAUGCCUCAUUCCCCACCCCCAGCUGUCUUAGCACAGACUGGAGGGUGGGGUGUGGCGGGCAAUCUGUCCUUAGUGUUCAGUGUCUUUGGCCAUCACUGAAGCUAUCAGGUCCCUGGAGGCCUCCACGGCCUGCAUGGGAAUGGGCUGUGUUGUGCAUGGAGCAGCCCUCCCCACAGGCAGUGUCUGAGGCAGUGAGCAGGGUGGAAAGGUUGUCCUAUGAGCAAAAAAAA
ensembl:lncRNA SMPD4BP sphingomyelin phosphodiesterase 4B, pseudogene